GGGUAGGGUUAAUAUAAAAACCCCUCUUAAGAUGAAAACUAGGAACCAAUUUAAAGCCAUUGAUUUAAAUAAAAUAGAGGACUGAGAUUAAACUACAGAUGCACAAUUUCGAUUGCAUAGAUGCACAGUUUCAAUUGCAUAGAUGCACAAUUUCGAUUUGCUUGAGUAUUUUGCAUUGUUGGUUUCAAUUGCAUAAAUUGCAUAUUUUUUAAGUGCACAAUAAAAUAUAAUAGAUGC
rnacentral:lncRNA from 1 species